rnacentral:rRNA from 1 species
AUUGAACGCUGGCGGCAUGCUUUACACAUGCAAGUCGAACGGUAACAGGCCGCAAGGUGCUGACGAGUGGCGAACGGGUGAGUAAUGCAUCGGAGCGUGCCCAGUCGUGGGGGAUAACGCAGCGAAAGCUGCGCUAAUACCGCAUACGAUCUAUGGAUGAAAGCGGGGGACCGUAAGGCCUCGCGCGAUUGGAGCGGCCGAUGUCAGAUCAGGUAGUUGGUGGGGUAAAGGCUCACCAAGCCAACGAUCUGUAGCUGGUCUGAGAGGACGACCAGCCACACUGGGACUGAGACACGGCCCAGACUCCUACGGGAGGCAGCAGUGGGGAAUUUUGGACAAUGGGCGCAAGCCUGAUCCAGCAAUGCCGCGUGCAGGAAGAAGGCCUUCGGGUUGUAAACUGCUUUUGUACGGAACGAAACGGUCCUGGUUAAUACCUGGGGCUAAUGACGGUACCGUAAGAAUAAGCACCGGCUAACUACGUGCCAGCAGCCGCGGUAACAC